AUACAGCGAGCUGGCCCAGCUCCCGGCCACGUGGCUCACACUGUCCGUGCUCACCCACCCGUUGCCUUCACCCCCAGCAGCACUGGUUGUGAAAAGGGUACCUGCCUGAGCCACCCCACCACUGCGGGCCUGCCAAGGACAGGCAGGGACUCAGCCAUGCCCCGCAAGGAGCCCAGGGGCAUCCCCAGGGACGGCUCCCCAGCCUAUGGGCUCGCUUCCUGAGAGGCCGUGCUCGGGCUCGCCUGCUCAGCUCACUCCGAAAGCCUCUGCUCGGACCUGCACCCAGUCAGAGCAGCACAGAUGUGCAGGAGGAGACCAUUUCCACCGGCCCUCCGACUCCUAGGAGGCAGUCCCUUAGGCACUGGCCCUAACAACAAAUGAGGAGAAGCCAAGUUCUCUGCUUUCUGCAGACAGGGCCUCCCCUGGAUGGGAUCUUCCUCUGAGGCGAGCUUCAGAUCUGCUCAAGCUUCCUGCAGUGGGGCCAGGAGGCAGGGCCCGGGCAGGGGAGACCAGAGCCUCUCGGUGAUGCCUCCGAAUGGCAGGGCUCAGACACACACACCGGGCUGGGUAAGUCCCUGCAGUGAAAACCGAGACGGUCUUUUGCCUGCCACAGCCCCGGGCAGACUCUGCUCUCACCGUGGUGCCGACAUCCCAAGUUUUCAGACUCACCAGGACCCAGUGACAACAUCUGGGUCCUCAGAGCUGCAUGCAGACUGUCCCCAGUUCAGAGCAUUGGACAGAGCUGGGAACUGACAGCCCUGAUCAAUAGUCCCAAGAGAAAGGCCAGCCCUCCUCCUCCUCGGAAUCCUGGGUUUCUAGGAGGCAGAAAGGUUUUCUGAGAAACAAGGCUUUUGGAAGGAAGGUGGUGCCUGGCUGCAUCCAGAAAGGGAGAGCUAAAUGGAGAGGCUGAACAAAGGACGCAUGUGGAACGCAUGGGGAGGGGAGGCUGGGGCGCAGGGCUCCGGGUCUGCUCUUCUGCGUCCACCCCGGAUCCUGCUUUUGUCCAGAUGGGCCUCGGAGCACCAGUCACUUACUCCAAGAAGUCAUUUCCUGUGGCCAAUAAUGAAGAUGACGCACUCGGAAGCUUGUGGGCUCUGAGGAGGGGGUAAGGACGCAGGGGCCAUGCAUUCAUCCCAGCACAGGCAGCGCAUGGCUCCGGAAGCAGACACAGGCCAGGCCUGGGCCAGGAGUCUGCCAGGAGCCAGGAGCGCCUGCACCUCCCUGGAGGCCCACACUUCUCUCCCCAGAAGCUCACACGCAGCGUCUGAGGUGCAGGGCCCAGGUGUGCUGGGGUGACAAAGCCCCGAGCUGUGGUGAUGGGAGGGAGGAAGCGCCGGUUUAUGUCUGUUCUUUGGGCUGAUUUGCUGUCUCUGUCUUUGUCUCUAAUGUCCUUUGCACCACUGACCUUGAGGAGCCUUUUGUUCCUCCUGUCCCAGUUUGGUUUCCAUGGGAACCUGAGUGGCAGCGUCAUCACUUUGCUGAGGUGAAAUGCCCCUGGAUGCCAUGAAUACCUAGGGGAAAACCUGCCAGAGAAGAAUAAACCAUCCAAGAGACGGCGCUGCAGGCCUCACAGUCUGCUUCCAUUUCCUCUCAGGUUUCAGAUCUCUUAGUUUUGGGUGCCCAAGUUCACGGAGGGUGCCGGGGAAUAGAAGCUCUGUCAGUCUCAUCUGGAUCUUGGUCCUCAGCAACUGUCUGGAUCCUGACAGGUGUGUGAUAAUUACUUAGUGAAUUCAUGGGUGUGGGCCGUGAUAGAAUUAAGUGAUUUGAUGUCCUCUCGAUAAAUCCAGGUAACAACAUAGGGUUUUUUGAGUUUGACCCUCUCCCGAAAUUUGCCAUCUGACAAAAUGACAUCAUGGCAGAGUUGUAAACUGCUGUGGAUGUAUUUUAUUUAAUUUCUCAAAUUAAAAUAAAAGGUAAUGGUACACUUAAGAGUGGUCACUACAGCCAAGCUGAUUGACACCCACUGAACUUUCUGGAAUGGGCCAUAGGAUGCUGGACAAUAGGACAGAUUUGGAAUGAGCAGUCUUCCAUUCCAACUUUAGUUUCUGCAAAGCUGUUGAGAGCAUGGAGCCAGGCUGCGGGGUCUGGGUUCAAAUCCUGACUCUACCACUUAGGAGCUGUGUGUACAUGGGCAGGACAACUGGCCUGCCUGAGUCUCAGUGUAGGUGUCUGUAAAAUGGAAUGAUAAUAGCUUCUAUCUCACAGAUUCACUGUGUGGGUAAAAUGAUAGAUGUGAAAUGCUAAGAACAGCACCUGUACGUAGUAUGUCCUAGAUAUCUUACUGUUAUCAUUAGCAUAUUUUGUUUAUUCCAAGAUACAUUUUUUUUGGCCCAUUUGAUAUCUAUGAAAUCUAAAGAUUUUUUUUCCUGUCUUGGGAGAUAGAAUAAUGGUGUGCCUUACAAUGGAUUGUGUUUUAGAUUCACUGAAAUUCAUUAUUGUUGUUUUUAUCCCUGGUCUGUAACAUGAUAUUUGGUAAAUAACAAGGACUCCAUACGUUUUGCAAAGAGUAAAUUCUCUCCCUCCCUACUGAGGCCUUGGUCUAGGUCUCUCCAGGCCUUUCCUUCCUGGAGCCACAGUGCUUAGAGACAGGCCACUGGGGUCAGCAUUUGAGCUCAGCUAUGAUCAGAAAAAAGCACCGUUGAGGUUGCAGUGAGCCGAGAUCACGCCACUGCACUCCAGCCUGGGCGACAGAGAGAGACUCCAUCUCAAAACAAAAACAAACAAACAAACAAAAAGCACCGUCGAGAAAUGGCUCCAGCGCUGACUAGCGGCCACCUCAUUUCCCCCCUUGACCACUGGGCCAGUUGGGUGGCUAGGUUGCCUCAUUUUGCAUCCUUCUGUAUCCCCAAAUCUGAAAUAAAAGCUGGAAAAAAA
rnacentral:sRNA from 1 species